rnacentral:misc_RNA from 1 species
GAUGAAGAACGCAGCGAAAUGCGAUACGUAGUGUGAAUUGCAGAAUUCAGUGAUUCAUCGAAUCUUUGAACGCACAUUGCACCUCUCGGUAUUCCGGGAGGUAUGCCUGUUCGAGCGUCAUUUGUACCCUCAAGCUCUGCUUGGUGUUGGGUGUUUGUUCCGCCUCUGUGUGUGAACUCGCCUCAAAACAAUUGGCAGCCGGCGUACUUGUUUCGGAGCGCAGCACAUUUUGCGAUCCAGAUCAACGUACAGCGGCAUCCAAGAAGCCUUAUUUAACGCUCUUGACCUCGGAUCAGGUAGGGAUACCCGCUGAACUUAAGCAUAUCAAUAAGCGGAGGA